AGAGCACGUUGCAUUGUUCAGCCAAACACAUUCGUGAGUCUUUGGAGUCAUCAAGGGAAGCCCGUGUUGAAUCUGGGAGUAGGGACUGGAGGAAUGGAAUUGCUCUGCAAAAUGAUUCCCAGAAAAAAUUUCCAUGCUGCUGAGAGUCGAGAAGAGGGAGGGGGCAGAAGGUGAGCUGGCAGAAAUAUACAAGGCGGUUCAGAAAUGAAAGUCCAAUAUUGAACUGUUAGCUGUGUGCGGGGCUGUGACGUGAACUGUUCUGCUUCAUGGAAAUCUGGCUUAUUAACAUGUGCAAAGUGAGUUUUGUGCAAAGAAACUAGAAGCAGAGGAGGGGAACAACCCCAGGAAUGAGAUGUGAGAGGGAUGGUGUUUGAGUGGAGCCAGGGUUCCCGUGAGAGCAGAAUUCCAGAGAAUUCCAGAGGAACUGCAGGAGUCUUCUUGGCCUGGGAUGGGGCGGGCAGAUGAGAAGGUGGCGGCAGACAAUGGUGACACUUGCGGGGUCCUCAUCACAGUCCUGGAAAGGAGACAGGGCAAAUCAUAUAAUUCUACUUUACAGAGGAGAAAACCCAAGACUCAGGCAGGUUGCUCUUCUUGUCCAAUAUCACACAACUGGUGGCAGAAAGGAAAGCCCAGAUUAGGAUGCAGAACUAUAUCCCAUUCCUAGCCCCAGAGUCCCUAACCAUUAUUUGCCAACUGAAGGUAACCAGGAAAAAAAAAAAUCAUCAAAGGUAAACGAGUAGCAGGUAUGUACCAACACCAGCCUCCUCCUGCUUGCUGGGCUGCCAGCGAAUGAACUUCACCAUAGUGAGACAAAACAGGAGGGAGGGCAGGGUCAUUUUGAUGCAAAGAACAUUCCUGGAGGAGGAGAAGCAGUAGAACAUCA
rnacentral:lncRNA from 1 species